rnacentral:rRNA from 1 species
GAACGAGCGCUGGCGGCAUGCCUAACCCAUGCAAGUCGAACGAGACCUUCGGGUCUAGUGGCGCACGGGUGCGUAACGCGAGGGAACAUGCCCUUAGGUUCGGAAUAACUCCCCGAAAGGGGUGCUAAUACCGGAUAAUGUCUUCGGACCAAAGAUUGAUCGCCUUUGGAUGGGCCCGCGUUGGAUUAGCUGGUUGGUAGGGUAAAAGCCUACCAAGGCGACGAUCCAUAGCUGGUCUGAGAGGAUGAUCAGCCACACUGGGACUGAGACACGGCCCAGACUCCUACGAGAGGCAGCAGUGGGGAAUAUUGGACAAUGGGCGAAAGCCUGAGCCAGCAAGGCCGCGUGAGUGAUGAAGGCCUUAGGGUUGUAAAGCUCUUUUACGCGGGAUGAUAAUGACAGUACCGGGAGAAUAAGCCCCGGCUAACUCCGUG